rnacentral:rRNA from 1 species
GAUGAACGCUAGCGGCAGGCCUAAUACAUGCAAGUCGAACGGUGUCUUCGGACAUAGUGGCGCACGGGUGCGUAACACGUAUGCAACCUACCUUACAUUGGGGGAUAGCCUUUCGAAAGGGAGAUUAAUACCGCAUAAGACAGUAGCUGGGCAUCCAGCAGCUGUUAAAGAUUUAUCGAUGUAAGCUGGGCAUGCGUCCAAUUAGCUAGUUGGUGAGGUAACGGCUCACCAAGGAAAUGAUUGGUAGGGGAACGGAGAGGUCAAUCCCCCACACUGGCACUGAGAUACGGGCCAAACUCCAACGGGAGGCAGCAGUAGGGAAGAUUGGGCAAUGGACGCAAGUCUGACCCAGCCAUGCCGCGUGCAGGAUGAAGGCGUUAUGCGUUGUAAACUGCGUUUAUACAGGAAGAAACGACUCUUGCGAGAGGCAUUGACGGUACUGUAUGAAUAAGCACCGGCUAGCUCCGUGCCAGCAGCCGCCGUAAGAC